AGGAAAGGAAAGGAAAGGAAAGGAAAGGAAAGGAAAGGAAAGGAAAGGAAAGGAAAGGAAAGGAAAGGAAAGGAAAGGAAAGGAAAGGAAAGGAAAGGAAAGGAAAGGAAGCUCACAGUUUCUGACAUUAACAGAUAACGUGCAUAAAUAUUGCAGGUAGAUUUAGAAGGGAUGUAAUUGCAGUUUUAACCCAGACAGCAAACAGUAUUGUCUCCACAAGGUACUUUUGAUUUCCUCCUGCAAAUUUAGUCUCCAAAUUCCAUAACAAGCCCAUAUCUUUGUACAAGAGAGCAUUUUAUAGGUCAAGUUAAAAAAAAAAAAAUCGAAUAAAAUGUAAUGCCUGUCGUCUUAGGGAGAAACAAGGGCUGAGGGAAGGCCUUUCCAGGCCCACUUUUAAACAGAGCUCACAAUACACCAGGCGAACAUUGUGGAUUUAAAAUGCUUUUAAAUAUUUAUCACAAGUAUUUUAUUGCCAUAUUCAAAUGACACCUGGAGUGCACUCACCUUUAUUGACAGUCGCUGUUCUUAAAGUCCAUUUGCUUCGCCGGAGCCCCCCAAGCAGAACAACGCGGGCUAACCGCUUUCAUUCAGUUAAUGUUUGGUAAAAAACCAAGCGACCUUAAUCAGCAUGCUGAUUGCAUCGUCAACUAACAAAUAAUUUACUACUCCGAGCAUUGCAUUCCAUUAAAAGCUCAUUAAAUUUUCUGUUCUCCAAUGGGAGCUUCAGCUUUUGAACUGCACGCUUUAGCUCCGAAUUAUCACUUCUUCCAUUUUCUUCUUUUUUUUUCUUUUUUACAAAAUGUUUAUUUUGUUCUUUUUAAAUUAUUACUAUUUUAUUUUAUUUUUUCAAAGCACAGAUGAUGAUUUCAAUACCCACAUCCAGGACAGUGGUGGGAAAAUAGAUCUCAGAUUAAUCGCUAUGAGAAACUCAGGACAUUGUGGGUCCAGGGGGUACAGAGGGAAACGACUGUGUUCUAUUCUUAGACAUUUCUAACUUCGGUGGAAAAAGCAUUCUCUGGGGGAGGCACAGUGCGUGGUUUGGGGGUGCGAAUGCUUUGAAUACUUCGGCAUUUAAAACACUGAAACAUUUUGUCCUGUAUGCAAAGCGAUCACAUAUCGGGAAAAAAGGGAGGAAAGAAAAAAAAGGGGGGGGGUUGGGGUGGGGGGGGUGGGGGAAGGAAAGAAAAACAAAUAACCCAGGGCCCUUCUCUUCAUCCGUGUAAACAAUGAACAAAGGGGGGGGGGGGGGGGGGGGGGGGGGGGGGGGGGGGGGGGGUGGAGAGAGCAACCCUUUGGGAUAUGGAACACAAAUCUUCUUGCCCGUCCUAAAAGUAUCAAGGACUCCAGACAUUUCCCAGGUGGGUUCGGAUGUCCAUCCGUCCAUUCGUCCGUCCCGGCGGCGGUCAGCAGGUGGCGGUUUUGCGGUACUUCUUCACUUGGCAGAACUUGGAGUUAGAGAAUAGAGUCAUAGAACCCUUAGAGUUGGAAGGGACCUCUGAGGGCAAGCUAGUCCAACUCCCCUGCAAUGAACAGGGUCAUCACAGCUACAUCAAGUUGCCCAGGGCCUGAUCCAGCCUCGCCUUCAAAGUCUCCAGGGACGGGACAUCAACCACAUCACUGGGAAAGCUGUUCCAGUGCCUCACCACCCUCACUGAUUCGGGUCCGGCCACAGCGGUGCUACAGGGCGCGCGUUUCUGCAGCCCCGCGCCUCCUCUCCUCUCCCUUCCCCAGCAGCACCACGAGACAUUUUCCCAAAAGCAAAAAGAGAAUUUCCGAAAGCACGUGUGACAGUCGAUGUGCUCACAAAACGCCCACCUUCUGCGGCUGUCGACAUCGCACCGUUCUCAGACCACGUCCGAGCCGAAGACAGCUGGCACUCAAAGGGACGUGGAAGGGUGGAGCUGAUUGUGACAUAUUUACUCAAAAAAACCAAUUUUUAAAAAUUAAACCUAAAUGACGGCUGAAUAUCACAGAAGAAAUGAGAGGAGGAGAAAGCUUGAAGACCUGUCUGUCCACCAGAAAUG
ensembl:lncRNA